AACAAUUUCGGUCAGCAUCCAUUCUAAACAGACGACCCUUGCAUUUGUGCCCCGGAAAGUAGGAGUCAUCACAGUUGAAACACAACCCCUUGGUUGUGCGUUCCUUGCGCUCUUCUGCUGUCAACAUCUUUCGUACAAUCGGAACUCCUUUGGCUCCGGUCGGCGGUACUUUAAUUAGAGGUUCUGAUUUUGAAUAUGAACCUACGAUCUUGCCACUCCCACG
rnacentral:lncRNA from 1 species